rnacentral:tRNA from 1 species
GGGGCUGUAGUCCAACUGGGAGGGCACCUGCCUCGCGUGCAGGAAAGUGUCGGUUCGACCCCGACCAGCUCCA